UUUUCCUGAAUAGGAUGCAUUAUUUGUCUCGCAAUUUACUGUGCAUAUGUGUUUUGCUUUCUGCUCGAGGGAAUUUGCAAAACUUGUGAAAACUCCCAGGGAGAGAGUGAUUCGCGUGCGCUUUUAUCCCAGGAGCGAAUGGGUUAAAAGAAUAUAUAUCAUGCCAAAGAAAAGAACUGCUUUUAUCAAGGGAAAGUGAAACUCCUACAUCAGACCUCCAACCCAGCUAAAAAACGCUCAAGAGCCGACAAAAGCAGAAAACACACAGAAUAUACAAGCAGGACUCUUAUCUACAAAAAUCAGAAAUGCUGACAAGGGCAAGACAAGGACAAGAAGUAUUAUUUUUUAUUUGAGAUCGCAUUAAAGGCGAGAUGACAUCA